AUUGAACGCUGGCGGCAGGCCUAACACAUGCAAGUCGAGCGGAGCGGCGGACGGGGGAGUAAUACCUAGGAAUCUGCCUGGCAGCGGGGGAUAACGUUCGGAAACGGACGCUAAUACAGCAUCCUAUCAGAUGAGCCUAGGUAGGAUUAGCUAGUUGGGGAGGUAAUGGCUCAACAAGGCUACGAUCCGUAACUGGUCUGAGAGGAUGAUCAGUCACACUGGAACUGAGACACGGUCCAGACUCCUACGGGAGGCAGCAGUGGGGAAUAUUGGACAAUGGGCGAAAGCCUGAUCCAGCCAUGCCGCGUGUGUGAAGAAGGUCUUCGGAUUGUAAAGCACUUUAAGUUGGGAGGCGUUACCGACAGAGUAAGCACCGGCUAACUCUGUGCCAGCCGCCGCGGUAAUAC
rnacentral:rRNA from 1 species